CCUUCGUGAGCACAGUCAUUCAGAAGAGACAAGCAAGACAGUUGAGUCAGCAUAUUUGGUGGCGGGACCAAAACCCCGGCCCUGAGUUCUCAAAGCUGCCUUUUCCUGACUCGGGGACCAGGUCCUCCCACCUACUCAGGCCGAGAGGCCGUGAUCCCCCGGACCCCGCCCAGGUCGCCCCCCUCCUUCCCGAAAGCCCACCAUUUUCCCAGCAGGCCUUGCCCCGGGCCUCUCCCGCAGCGGCAGGGGCGGGGCGGGAACGCCGCCGCGACUCGGUUCCCACCGGCGGCCUCCCUCGCACCCCUCCGCGGCCCCUGCCCACCCCUCCUGGACCCGGACCUCUCCCGGCCGUUUGCUCCCCGGCGUUCUCUCCGCCGUGACCUGCAGACCUGCAGACGGACGCCAGACAGGAGGAAAGGAGAGGGAUAAAGAUAGAAACAUUGAUAAGAGCGAAUCACCGAUUGGCUGCCUCCUGCAUGCCCCUACUGGGGAUUGAGCCCACAAUCCUGGCAUGUGCCCUGAACAGGAAUUCAACUGGGACCUCUUGGUGUUCAACCAACUUAGCCACACCUGCUGACCAUCAUAAAUUGUCCUGCAUGACAGACUAGAAGUCUUAGCAGAUCUACCUAAUACAUGGACACAAACCCAAACAGGCAGCCAAAAUGGAGAGACAAGAAAAGAACAAGCCCCAAAUAAAAGAACAAGAGAAUUCUCCAGAAGAAGAGAUAAAUGAAAUGGAGAUAAGAAAAGUAUCAGAUAUCCCUAGCCAGUUUGGCUCAGUGGAUAGAGCAUCAGCCUAUGGACUGAAGGGUCCCAGGUUCGAUUCCGGUCAAGGGCAUGUGCCUGGGUUGUGGGCUCGAUUCCCAGUAGGGGACGUGCAGGGGGCAGCCGAUCAAUGAUCCUCUUUCAUCAUUGAUGUUUCUCACUUCCUCUCUGAAAUCAAUAUAUAUAUAUAUAUGUAUACUUUUUAAAAGAAGUGUAUCAGAUAUAGAGUUCAGAAUAAUGAUUACAAGGAUACUCAACAGCAUGAGAAAAUACGUAAAAACUAUGAAAAAUGACUAAUCGGAAAUGAAGGAUGACAUAGUACUAAUAACACAUUGGAAGGAAUACACAGCAGAUUAUGGGAAGCCGAAGAUCGGAUCAGUGAAUUAGAAGACAGGAUAGAAAGAAAUCACUCAAUCAGAGAACCAAGAAGAAGAAAAAAUU